rnacentral:lncRNA from 1 species
AGUUUUUUCACCAUUCUUUGGAGGGGAAAAAGUGGUAACAGUUCCUUGGUGUGUACCUCCCUUAAGACUUGUACCAAGAAAGCCGGGCAGAGGUUAUCAGCUGUGGAACUGGGACCUAUGCAAGGAAGAGAGCUGCCCUGCUGUAAGACCACAGGAACAAUGGUUGACAACCAACCUAUCUUCCAACCAGGCUUCCAGCCUGCAAAUAAAUGAAGUGCCAGCAAUAGCUUCACUCUCCAGAAUUAGAACCAUGCUGCAAACUGCUCUUAAGCUCCUAAACCCGAAUAACAGGGGUGGGGGAUGGAGUGGGG